UUAUCAUUCUAAGUUCUAAUCUAGUCGCCUCUCUCUUCUCUCCGUCUUCUUCGUCUCUUCCCCCAAACAAGAAACAGAAAAAAUCAGAACAGAGAUGUCGAUUAAAUCAUCUCUCAAAAGCUACACCGUAAUCAUUCUCUUCAUAUUUUCCCCACCUCUAACAUCAUUUUUGUUCUCUAUCACCUUUCACAGCGAAACUCACAGGAUGUUAGUCGUGGGAGAUUUUGAUGUAUUUCUAGGGAAUUGGCAAAUCCCCUGUUAUGUUUGUCGUGGGGGAGUUUGUCAAAAUCUUUUAAAAUUUCUGUUAGUGGUGAGAGAUUUUUAGGGAGUUUCUAUAAAUACCUCCAAAUCUCUUAAACUCCAUGUUAGUGAUGAGAGAUUUGAAUAAAAUCUCUUAAACUCCUUGUUAGUCGUAAAACACUAGAAGUUUAGGGAAUUUACAAUUUGGGGGAUUUUGAUAGAGUUCAAUGAUGUUUUUGUAUGAUGUUUUUGUGCUUACCAAAUCUCUCAAAAAACAAGAGAUUUCUGGGGAGUUAGGAUUGAACUCCCCAAAAUUAUCUAGACUCUCAUACACUCCCUCUAAAUCCCUGGAGAUUUAAAUACAUUAAAAUCUCUCAAACUCUCUCACGACUAACCCCUGUCAAUAUCCUUUUUUUUUCUUCCCUACAAUGGCUGCAAAGAUGAAGUCAUAAACGAGAAGCACCCACCGCCUUUGGAUGAAGACGAUAUUAAAUUAUUCAGAUCUAUAGAUUGGGUUUAUACCCAAAUAAGACUGAGAAGGAGAUUGAGGAGAUGUCUUUGAUUCUGCUGGAAGUAUGGCACUGAACUGGAACUUUGGAUGUGAAAACAAGGGAUGGAGGACCUUUUGGAAAGGAGAUGGCUUUGAUUCUACUGGAAGUAUGGCACUCAGCUGGAACUUUUGAUAUGAAAACAAGGACUGGAGGACCUUUUGGAACCAUGAAACAUGCUGAAGAGCUAGCUGAUGCAGCUAAUAAUAGAUAAGAUACUGCUACUAGGUUAUUGGAACCAAUUGAAAAGCAAUUUCUUACCGUAGUUACGCUGAUUUCAUUCAGUUGGAUUGGAUGGAGCUGUAGCUGUCGAAGUAAAACAGGGGCCAGUCAGCUUGGAUGAGACGUGGUUAUGGAAUACUUACACUCCACAAGGAGAACCGAUCGCAGUGCGCUGCUGAAAAGAUCUUGAACAAUCAUAUCUUUGAGAAGGAAGCUUCAUGGUAUGGAGUUGAGAAAGAGGUACACCCUCUUGCAGACCUAUGUUAACAUCAACAAGGUUGAUGUCUACAGCUUCAAUAUUGGUUUAUUGGAGUUAUUGACUAAAUGAAUGCCAUUUGAGGGCAUGACCAACUUGCAGGCUGCUUAUGAUGCUGCAUUUAAGGUGUCAUUUCAAGUUGCAGAUGCACUCGAGCAACCAUUUCAAGAUGGACAGUUUGAUCUUCUUUGGUCCAUUGAAAGUGGAGAACACAUGCAUGACAAAGCCAAGGAACUAGCACUAGCUGAAUGUGCAGAUGAUGAAUAUUCGGAUGGGGAUGCUUAGGAACUAGCUGAAUGUGGGUUGUAGAUAUUCAAUCACAAUGUUUUUUCGAGUUUGAUACCUUCAUGGACGCCGACACUUUGUUCCCGAUGAUCUCAUGAGGCUAACUGAUGUCUUGGUUGAUGGUAAGAUCGUUGUUCCUGAUGGAUGUAGAAAUGGUUGAAAGGGUUGUGCGUCUACAGUUCUGCUCUCACGCAAGCUAGUUCCAAGAUCCUAAUGACUGAAAUUGUUGUUGAAAUUCUCAGGACUUGUACCACUUAAGAAACCUUAAUAAUUAUAAGUUUUUUUUAAAGAUUUUGCACUAAAUUUAUGAGUACAGUUCAAUGUAAUUGAGCUGUCAUUUGGUGUCAUUUGGUAUUAGACGAAUCUGUUUCUAUAUGGAAUUUGAAUUUCACUUGAAUUUCAGAACUUGAGUAA